GUGGCCCUGGCUCCCCGGCUCCCUGCAGCUCCGAGGCAGCAGCAUGGGUGGCGCGCGGGACGUGGGCUGGGUGGCAGCAGGGCUGGUCCUGGGCGCCGGCGCCUGCUACUGUAUCUACCGGCUGACUCGGGGACCGCGACGAGGCGGUCGCCGACUGCGCCCUUCUCGAUCCGCAGAAGACCUAACUGAUGGCUCCUAUGACGAUAUCUUAAAUGUGGAACAGCUUGCGAAACUUCUGUAUCUGCUGGAGUCAACCGACGAUCCUAUCAUUACUGAAAAGGCCUUGGUCACCUUGGGAAAUAAUGCAGCCUUUUCCACUAACCAGGCCAUUAUUCGUGAGUUGGGUGGUAUCCCAAUUGUUGGAAACAAAAUCAACUCCCUGAACCAAAGUAUUAAAGAGAAAGCUUUAAAUGCACUGAAUAACCCGAGUGUAAAUGUUGAAAAUCAAACUAAGAUAAAGAUAUACGUCCCUCAAGUCUGUGAAGACGUCUUUGCUGAUCCCCUGAACUCUGCGGUGCAGCUGGCUGGACUGAGGCUGCUGACAAACAUGAUGGUCACCAACGACUACCAGUACCUGCUCAGCGGCUCCGUUGCUGGCCUGUUCCACCUGCUGCUUCUGGGAAAUGGAAGCACCAAGGUUCAGGUUUUGAAGCUGCUUUUGAAUUUGUCUGAGAAUCCAGCCAUGACAGAAGGACUACUGAGUGUCCAAGUGGAUUCUUCAUUCCUUUCCCUUUAUGAGGGCCAAGUAGCAAAUGAGAUUCUUCUUCGGGCUCUUACACUGUUUCAGAAUAUAAACAAUUGCCUCAAAGUGGAAGACCGGUUAGCUAAUGAGAUUCCUUUUGCUAAAGGGUCAUUGUUUUUUCUGUUAUACGGAGAAGAAUGUGCCCAGAAAAUGAGAGCUUUAGCCUGUCAUCAUGAUGUGGAUGUGAAAGAGAAGGCUUUAGCAAUAAAGCCGAAAUUCUGAUCAGUUGCUCCUAUUUUUAUCAAAGACUCAAACAGGAAUGCAGUCUUAAGUCAGCACACAGGAACGUUCACCUUCCUUUAAAAGGGUUCUUUCAGCCGAUGGAGUUAAACAGCAAAAGUGAGUGAGCAGCUCUAAUCCAACUGGAUGUUCAGAUUUUUAGAUUUUGGAGUAGUUCGGGUUUGGGGUUUGGGGAAGGAGUAGAGUCUGGAACCUUCAGAGGAUGUGGAUCACUUAUGGGG